UGGGGAAUAUUGCACAAUGGGCGCAAGCCUGAUGCAGCCAUGCCGCGUGUAUGAAGAAGGCCUUCGGGUUGUAAAGUACUUUCAGUCGGGAGGAAGGUGGUAAGGUUAAUAACCUUAUCAAUUGACGUUACCGACAGAAGAAGCACCGGCUAACUACGUGCCAGCAGCCGCGGUAAUACGGAGGGUGCAAGCGUUAAUCGGAAUUACUGGGCGUAAAGCGCACGCAGGCGGUUGAUUGAGUCAGAUGUGAAAUCCCCGGGCUUAACCCGGGAAUUGCAUCUGAUACUGGUCAGCUAGAGUCUUGUAGAGGGGGGUAGAAUUCCAUGUGUAGCGGUGAAAUGCGUAGAGAUGUGGAGGAAUACCGGUGGCGAAGGCGGCCCCCUGGACAAAGACUGACGCUAAGGUGCGAAAGCGUGGGGAGCAAACAGG
rnacentral:rRNA from 1 species